rnacentral:lncRNA from 1 species
UCCAAAGCAGGAAAUAAACAGAAGGAUGUGUUAUUUUAAUUAACAAAAUAAGAUCUAGUGUUUGCAAUCCUCAAAGGAUAAAAACCCUAAAGUAGAAGCAGAGUUGGUGAAGUUACAACAGAGAAGGAAGGAAUGAUUGUAUUGAGUUGUGUUGGUGUGAGAACAAAGUGAAGAAAGAGAAAGGGGAAAACUUUACCAGCAUUGUCGCAACCAACCAUGAGAAUCCUUGAAGAAAGAGGAAUGAAAUUGUGCACGAACGAUUUGAGAGCAUAAUAACGUUGGUACCAAUCCAAGGAACCACCGUAACGCAUAUUCACAUCCGUUAGUGAAGGAUAAAAAAGUAAUGAGGAGGUACAAGAAGCAUUGUGUGGUGAUGGAGGGAGUAAUGCCCUAUUACAUAAUCAAAUAAUAAAACAUCAUGUUAGUAACUGUUAGAAUUAUUGGUUAGUGUGUGUGAUUUGUGUGUGAGCUGUGUGUAUCUUAAUGGUAGAAUAAUUACUAAGUCUACCUAUGUUAGGGUAGUCAGUAAGAUUAAAGUAGGGAGUAGUAUGUAGGGUUAUCUAUAAUCAUUGUACCUAGCAGUCUAGGACAGUUCCUUGACCUUUCAUCUCCCUAUUGUAUCAACUCUUUAUCUAUAUAAAUAAUAGAACAUGA